GCAUGAAAAAAGGCUGAAAAAUGUUCAAUCGAAGAAGAGCCAGUGUGGUGGAUUCAGUGGCCAACUUUUCAACAGUAAUCAAGUAAUAUAUGGCAACAACAACAACAACAACAAAAAAAUCACUUUGAGCUGCUCUAAAUACUAUAUAUUUGAACAAUCACCAAAUACACACUAGUAGUUCAAUCAAUGAUUAAAUGAUUAUUUUUUUUCUGUUUGAUCGAUUUGAAAAGUAGGAAAGAAGCAAAACAAAACAGAGAAAAAAAAACACCAUCAAAUGUCGUCAGUAGCAAUUAUAAUUUUGAUGACUUUAAUGACAGUAUUGUAAAGAAUUGGGUUCCUCAUAAAUACUUUUGUCAACUUUCUAACUAAUGCCAUAAAUCAAUAUAUUAACCAUUUGAUCAUCAUCUGAUUCAAUUAUUAGUUUUGUGUCA